AGCUCAGUUGGUAGAGCUUGGUGUUUGCAAUGCCAGGGUUGUGGGUUCGAUUCCCAC
rnacentral:tRNA from 1 species